AGUGAACGCUGGCGGUAGGCCUAACACAUGCAAGUCGAACGGCAGCACAGUAAGAGCUUGCUCUUACGGGUGGCGAGUGGCGGACGGGUGAGGAAUACAUCGGAAUCUACUUUUUCGUGGGGGAUAACGUAGGGAAACUUACGCUAAUACCGCAUACGACCUACGGGUGAAAGCAGGGGAUCUUCGGACCUUGCGCGAUUGAAUGAGCCGAUGUCGGAUUAGCUAGUUGGCGGGGUAAAGGCCCACCAAGGCGACGAUCCGUAGCUGGUCUGAGAGGAUGAUCAGCCACACUGGAACUGAGACACGGUCCAGACUCCUACGGGAGGCAGCAGUGGGGAAUAUUGGACAAUGGGCGCAAGCCUGAUCCAGCCAGACCGCGUGGGUGGAGAAGGCCUUCGGGUUGUAAAGCCCUUUUGUUGGGAAAGAAAAGCAGCAGGUUGAUACCCCGCUGUUCUGACGGUACCCAAAGAAUAAGCACCGGCUAACUUCGUG
rnacentral:rRNA from 1 species